GUAAGUUGAAAAGAGCAUGCUGCAUCUUUGAUGUAAAAUAUCUCGAAAAGGAAUCAAGGACCCUAUUGCAAAUUUGGCCUUGUUGGAAAGGAUGGCAGGUGCCUGAGUGUAUCUCGACCCAUUUCCAGGCUAGCAUCAGAUGUCAUGAUGGACCUUUAAAAUCUUUCACAUGUGUACUUUCAAGAACCAUAUACAUUAUUUUUGAAAAUUGGUUGCCAUGGUAAUAAAAUCUGAAAAUUAAAACAUGGGCUUCUGAA